rnacentral:tRNA from 3 species
GCGGAAUUAACUCAGCGGUUAGAGUGGUGAUCUUAUAAAUCACUGGCGGUUGGUUCGACUCCAACAUUCCGUA